GCGCUUUAGAACUUUUUAAUAAAAACUGUUAGACUCUAUUAUGAAAUCAAUAGCAGCUUCUAAAGACAAACUUGGAAAAAUCAUGUUCUCUUUGGUAGUUCCUUCCAAAGGGCUUCAGCUUGCUUCCAAAGGAACAGAAAAAUACAUAUGCACAGUCCACUGCUUUAUGUGAAGUCCAUUUAAAAUAUACAUUAUUGGAUCCAGGUACAGUGGGAACCAAAUAGUUUGGGAAUCAACUCAAAUGAUUUUUUUGAUAAGCAAACAGUUCCUUUUUUUAGGAGCAGUCUGGUAUAGGCUGGCCAGAAAAGGCUCUAAUAGUUUGAGUCCUAGCUGUGCUGAGGACAUUAGUCAGCAUGUGUCAUAGGGAAAUUAAGAGUUUCCAUUCAUCCAUCACAUCAGCUAGGUAUGCUUAGGCCACACAUCUCCUGCUCUGCACAAUGAUGGCCCUACUAGAGACUGAAUGUCAAAUGUCCAGCACAGACUCAUGUGUUUGAACACUUGCUCUCUGACUUUUGGCACAAUUUGGGGACUUUGUAGACUCUUGAGGAGGUGAAUCCUUGUUGAGGGAGCUGAGUCACUAAGGGCCAAGCCCACUUCCUGCUCACUGUCUCCUCCGCAGCCAAAACCACGCAACACUACUCAUGGGAUGGACUGGCAGGUUCACUUCCUGUCAUCAGGCUUUCCCUGGUGCCAUGGUGGACUAUAGCUCCUCAGACUGUGAGCCAAGACAAACGCUUCUUCCCACAAGUUGCUUCUCGUCAGGUAUUUUGUCACAGGAGUGAGUGUUCGUGGAGAGCAGUAAAUGGUUUUCUUCAAUCGGAGAUGCAUGUUCCUAAUUAGACUCAUUUAUUCUGCAAUAUUAAGAACAUGCAACUAGUGGAGACAACAGAAAGGAGCAGGGGCCAGCUGAAUGUCGAUGCUUUACUGAGUUAAUGGAGGUGGACACAUCCCAACUGGAUUUUCCCCAGAGAGCACAACUUCAUGGCCCCAUCCUGACAGCUGACAUCCUCUGAGCCCAAGGUUGAAGGUGAUGACUAAGCUCUGGAACCCAGCUCAUGAAGUGCUGCUAGCUACAUCUACGGCGGCCCUUCCCUCUUUCGUUAAACUAUUCUGGAAACACUCUCACAAACAAACCCAGAGCUGCGUUUUCUUGGUGUUUCUAAAUCCAGUCAAGUUGGCGAUAAAGACAAAACAUGACGUGCUGCGAGAGCCAGAAGAGACAGAGCACAGGAGACAAGUCCUAACACAUCAGAAGCUUCAAAACGCAGAGGUGGGCACAGCAGAGAGACCCAAUGCAGUUCCCAAGACACAGAGCAGACGUGAUUUAAAAUGAGUAAAUUGCAAACGCAGAGUGUGAGCCAUCUCUGUCUACCUAAGAUGAAACCAGACUAUGAAGCAACACAAAGAGCCAGAGAGGUUGAGUGGACAAAAGAGAUGACUUCAUCGCUCUGGCAGGACUUAUGGAACUCUUCUGGAAAAGAACCCACAUUAAUUCCCCAAAGGAAAGAAAAUAAGAUAUUGUCUGGAAAGACCUAAGAGUGUCACUUCACUAUUCCCCCUCAGAGCACCCUGGCAAUAAGGUUGCCAUGCUAAAAUGUUGCAUGUGCUGCCCUCCCUGACGCAUCCUCUAGAGCCUGUUUCGACACAUCCCACAUAGAUUCUCUUUGCCAUACUUCCUUUGAGUUAUUUUUCUUUCUGGACCUCUGUGCUCCAGAGAAGCAACAUUCUGGGAAGUGAAGUGAUUUAGACCUACCUGAUGGCUUUGCUCCCUUUUAUUCCCGAUUAGGAGUCCUGGGCCUGAGCCCAACCCUCUCACUGGUCAGUUUUCUGCUUUGCCCAGUCAAUGAACAGAGGAAGAUAGCCAAAGUAAUUCUCAAAGUGGAAAACUCAAGGAAAAGAUGUGAUGGCUUUGAAGAGAGGACCAUGUGAAUAGAGAAUGAAACUGGACCAGGAACUCCAAUGCAAACCUAACAAAUGUAGACUAGAAGAUGAGGUUAGAAGGCUGGCCAAAGGGAAGCCGAACUACUACAUCAAUAGUUAUUUUACUUCACUGAAACACAAUGAAUACUCUUUGUUGGUUUCUAUAUGUUUCUAGAGUCUUAGUUUUUUUUAAUUAUUAUUUAUGUGUAUGUGUGUCUAACUGUAUGUGUAUGCACACAUGCAUGCAUGUACCAUCAGACACCAGAAGAGGGCACCAGAGCCCCCUGGAGUGUAGAGUUACAGAUGGUUGUGAGCCACUCAGCAUGAAUGCUGGGAAACAAAUCCUUUGAAAGAGAAGCAAGUGCUCUUUAACUUUCUCUCUCUAGCCCCAAAGAAGGCUUUUAAAAAGAGCAGGGUUGAAACAUGAAAACUGUGAUUAGGAGUUCAGGCUUUGUAGGAGGAAGACCAGAUAAAGAUGCAUGGCUCUGCGUCUCACUAGCAAGGUGACCUCAAACCCAUUGCUAGGCUGUGGGCCCCGAUCUGUGAAAUGACAAUAACCACAUCUACAGCACAGAAGUGUGUCCAUGUGUCAGUGGCCAUUAAUACUACUCCUGCUAUGUGCUAGAUAUUGAUAAUUAAUAUGGACUAUGCCCAAGGUCACACAUGGCAACCUACUGAUCAAAACCCAUUAUGGCUUGGCACUCUGUAAGCAUGCUCCUUACAAUGUCAGGACCAUAAACCACUCAGCCCCCGUAUCUGGCAAAUGACUACAGGUUAAUGUAAAAGGUCAAAAAUCUUUUGUCUUAUUUUAUUUUACAUUUUUCUCUCACAUAGGGUAAAAGAGAGAAAAAAAAUCUUAACACUGAUUAGGAGGUUAAGAAAAAAAAGUUCUAGAAACCAGAAAAAGAAAAUUUUUUUCUCUGAAGAUGUGAAUGCCUGUCACAAACUUUCUUGGCUUGGCAUAUCAUGAGUCACUUCUUUUGUUCUCUGAAACUGACCAGAACUUUAACUAAAUUUUGGUGUCAAGUCAAAGCCUACCCUUACCCUUCUCGUAUUGUAAACAAGUCCACUGAAGAUCCAGGUUAAAGUAUUUUCUCUUUUCAGCUUGAUGAAUUACUAACAAGAACGGCACAUGAGAUAAUGUCUCUUGGUAUCUGGAUAAUACACUGCCUCUCAAACCUACGACAGAAAUACUGGCUUCUCUCUGUGUGCUUCUAAUGGCCUUGGGGUGGGGGGAUAGCUUAAAUCAAAACCUUCCUCGUUACCUACCACAAUCCUCUUGGUUGUAGUGGUCCUGAGGUUUGAGGAGCUGUUUGCUAACCCUGUGAUCCCAAAGCUCACACUGAACUUGGGUUGUUAAAAUGCUCCAGAGGGGACCUGAACCAUGGCAAUCGGAGACCUCCCUCCACUCAUGCCAAAAUACCCUUCGCCUUUAAGGGCUCUUUUUAAAGCCAGAGAGUUCUCUCUGAUCCUCCUUAAUAAAGUGCCCAGGCAGCGGUAGUAACAACGCUCCCCUUCCUUAUUUGAGAUCUGUGCAGUCUCAUUAAAUUUGAUGUGUCACAGAGGGCUUGAGUAUGUGAAAGGCAGGCGGUGGGAGCUGGACUGGAGGUUGCCAGCUUUACUAAGGAAACGUAAUUCAUUACACCUUUUCAAAAUGGACGCCCCUCUGGCUUCCUGCUCCAUUGAUUCCCCCCUCCCCUUCGCAAGUAACGAGUGAAGGGCCUGCUCAGCCUGCAGAUUUAACCCUUAUUAACAGCUGUUUAAAUUAGAGAUGCAGUUUGAUGGAGAGAUGGGAGCCCCUCAAAGGAAACCAAGAUUAAAGCAUGCAUAAGACUGGAGCUGGGUUGUUGAGACAGCACCCCUGCCACCCCCCAAAAAGGAGGGGCUAGUGUUGCUAUUAAGCAGUUUGUCUAAAUAAUAUGUUCCUGCUUUGCCAUGAUUAAAUAUUCAUGGCCUACACUCCCACCUCUGUUGCCCCCACUCCUUUGCAAUAGUCAUAGAAGAAGGAAAAUUUGCUGGACUGUGCAAAACAAAGAAUCCUGUGACAAUAACCAGUUGGUUUGCCUGCUUCCUCCUUCUUGAGAUUGAUCUGAAACUACUCUGAAACCUAGCUGACUCCAAGCACCUUUGAGACCUGGGAGUGAACUACUGGGUUCUCUUGAAGGGAGCCGUCUGUUCUGGAAGCAGAGUCUGCAAGACAGAAGACAAGGUUCACCCUCCAAGUGCAACCAUGGAUUCUGUGGGAUUAUAUCAUUCACCUGGCCCAUAAACUAACCUGGAAGCAAAAGGACAAAGGUCAGGGUCAAGGAGCACCCACAUGUCAGACAGGCACGUAAAAUUCACAGUCCGACAUCAUUAUACAUCCCUGGAUAGUUAUGCAUCCUGCCCAAUAGAAACUAAUAAACCAAGAAAUAUCUGAAAAAGAAAAUCUAAUGAUAUUUACUUAUUUACUCAUUUGCUCGGGUCUCUACUCUGAGCUUUGUACCUGGCAAUAUUGUGGUGCUGGCAAUUUCAAAGGUCAGCAAACCACCUGACAAAAAACAAUGUAAGAGAGGAACGGUCUACUGGAGCUCAUACCUUGAGCCUAUGGCCGAUCAUGGCCAGGAAGGAGCAUACGACAACUGCCCAUAUUACAUCUGUGUUCUGGAAGCAGAGAGCCAUGGGCGCUAGCUGGUGCUCAGCUGGCCCUCUCUUCUGUAUUCAGCCAAGCAGUUAUAUGUCUCACCUUGCUGAUGCUAGUCUAAAAGAAAACCCUUCAUGAACAUCCUCAGGGGUUUGUCUCCGAGCGGCUUUAGAUCCUACCAAGCUGGUAUUGAGUACAAACCAUCACACUGUAUGCGUUGAGGACCCUCACCAAAUCUAACUGAAUUUAACGGA
rnacentral:lncRNA from 1 species